ACACUUGUGGUGCAGUGGGUCAGUGUGACCGGCUGUUAACCAGAAGGUUGGUGGUUCAAGGCCACCCAGGGAUG